GCAGCGCCCCACUCAACAAAGCUUCCCGCGGGCCCUGCCCCAUGACUCACCGCUGGGUGGGGCGGGCACGCAGGCAACCCGCGGGCCGAGACGGGGUAGUGAGGGCCGGAAGCCCGGCUCCCGACUCCGCUUCGUCCCCACAACCUCCGGCCGCCUGAAGUCCUGAGGGGCCGUGGCCCUGGGUCGUCUCCCCUGUUCCCAGCCUCCAGUCGCAGCUGGCGGAGAGAAGUUCCCGAGGCCCCCCCGACUUGCAAGGUCCCUUGCCCCGCCCAGAGCUGAGCCUUCCGAGGAUCUGAGGACCGAGUCCAGCCCAGCUCCCAGGAGGGGCCGGGAUCCUGGGGCAGGGAAUAAGGGGCAGGGGCUGGCUCUAAAGUCGGGCGGGAGAGGGGCACUAACCGAGAUGGGGGCUGAGCCUCCGGUCUGGGAGCUUCGGGAGGCGCGUGGCGGGAUGGAAAACAUUCCUGAGACCGUUGGAUUGGAUUUCCGAAUUUGGGAGGCUAGGACUCCGGCUACGGUGGCUCUGCUCUUGGGAUGAGAGGACUGGGCCCAGCUUGCGAGGAAUCAUGAAGUGGACACAGGGUGGGAACGUGAAUUUUAAUGAGGGGGCAGACCGAGGAGGUGGUGGCUGCCCGGAGAUCAGGGCCAGGCUGUGCUAGAUGGCGCCUGGAAGGGGGGUCACCCAAGUCUCCCUGCUGUCAUUUCAGGAGGCCGACCCAAGUCUCCCUGCUGUCAUUUCAGGAGGCCGAAUUUUUUCCCAAUCCCAGAGAAGGUGUCAGAGGCCUGGUUAGCAGUCUUGUCGAUGGUUUCCUGGGUGGUCUUGGCCAGCUGGUCCAUGGCUGGGGAAGGGCGGGAGAGAGGGCAGGUCAGGCAGGGCCCGGGAACCACAGUGCCUGUAGGCUUAGCCUGGCCUGGGUCUCCCGGGGGACCUGCUUGGGGCAUUGUGGACAGAGGGCUCUGCAGAGGAGAGGAUGUGCCUGGGCCCCAGCCGGGAUGGGGCGGGGAGUGGGAGGUGUGCUGGGGUUGCCCGCCUCCCUCCAGCCCCACCAGACCUUUCUGCCCCGCCUCUGUGGCCUGGUCCACCACUUGCUGAGCUGCCGCUCCGGCCGCUGACACUGGAACAGAGAGAUGUGGCUUUUAGCCCCUGUUGAGGCACCACCGACUACAGGUGCCCCACCAUUGCCAUGCCUCUGUGUCCUCCAGAGUAUUCGGUGGUACAGGUCCAAGGGAUGGAUGCCAUGGAGAUAAAGUCCCUGGCCCAGGGCCCCCCAGCCCGAGGGGCAGGAGACCUUUCCAUGCCUCUGGGAUGUUUUUGUUUAUUUCUAACUCUGAGCUCCUUCUCUGUGGGGGAGGAGCUUCCCUUUCCAUCUCCAGGGCUACUGAGAAAAUGUUGGACAGAGGAAGGAAGGCAGGGCAGGGCCAGGCUGCAGCUAGCAUCUGGACUGUUGGCUAAUGCUGGUGAUGGCGCAGAAGACCCUUGCCCCCUUUUACAGCUUCUCCCCUAGAAGCCUGGCCCAGAUGCCUGAAUUCCCACCUUUCAUGCACUUAGCCCUGGGGCUUGCAGUUUUGCCAGGUCCUUACUGCCUCCUCCCUCCUGUGGCCUGCCCGGAGGGGCACACAAGCAAAGCCAGUGCCUCUGUGGACAGGCAGCUUAAGACAUUAGGAGACAAAUGAAGGAAGGAGGCAAAACUUCCAAGGCCGGACUAUCUCCUCUGGACCAGAGUUUCGGCCUGCUGGGAAUGGAGUCACCAGCCCCGGGGGGGCUGACAGGUGGCUCCCGCCUACAGAGCUGUAACUCAUCCCUGCUGCUGAACAGGAAAGGGCCUGCCUUACCCAGAUCCCAUCCUCCGGAAAGGGUUAGUCAGGCAAGUGUGCUGAGAGGCCCCUGGGAACCUCGUCUCGAUUAACCCAUCAGAAAGCAGCCCAUCCUUUGCACCCAGCUCUCAGAUGGAAAAGUGAAGCCCAGAAGGAAGGGACCUGACACGGAGGCUUCCUUGGUAGCAUUUCAGUCUCAAGGGAAGAACUGUGGGCCUCCCCUGGAGCACUGGUGAACUGGGUCACCUCCAGAAUACGGAGGAGAGAGCUGGAGGUGGAGGAACUAAGGACCUUCUUUGCCAGGUGGGGACUUAAAGUUUCAGUUACUCAUUGUUGGGGCUCAGAAACCAAUACCCCGAAAUAUAGUGGUGUGACAUUCUGAACUGAAGAAGCCUUAAGGUCUCUCCGACCAGACUCCCACAGGCCCCCCAACCCUUUGUCUCUUCCAAAGCAUACAGUGAAGUUGUUCUCUGAAGUUCCUCAUCUGCCUUAAGUCUGGACCCACCAAAGAAGAAAACAAUGACCACUGGUCCCUUCCCGGAGUUUUCUCUGACUGAACUGCUGUCACAGGAAGAAAGACUGAAGCCUGCUCACAUACCUGGACAGAUUUUGCAAACCGUUGUCUGCUCUGUGAGCCCAACAGACUUUGUCCCAGGCCACUGUAUGUUCUUCAAGCCCACUGAAUUCCCCUGAAAAUCAUUUACUAGCCCCCUGAAAUUACCCACACUUCCCCAUUGCUCAUCUGUACCCCAUUUCGUGGUGGGGCAGUCACUCUGAUUUCCCCUUGCAUGCUAAUGAAUGUGUAUUCCAUUUCU
ensembl:lncRNA ADIRF-AS1 ADIRF antisense RNA 1